rnacentral:rRNA from 1 species
AGAACGAACGCUGGCGGCAUGCCUAAUACAUGCAAGUCGAACGAAGGCUUCGGCCUUAGUGGCGCACGGGUGCGUAACGCGUGGGAAUCUGCCCCUUGGUUCGGAAUAACAGUUGGAAACGACUGCUAAUACCGGAUGAUGACGAAAGUCCAAAGAUUUAUCGCCAAGGGAUGAGCCCGCGUAGGAUUAGCUAGUUGGUGAGGUAAAGGCUCACCAAGGCGACGAUCCUUAGCUGGUCUGAGAGGAUGAUCAGCCACACUGGGACUGAGACACGGCCCAGACUCCUACGGGAGGCAGCAGUAGGGAAUAUUGGACAAUGGGCGAAAGCCUGAUCCAGACAAUGCCGCGUGAGUGAUGAAGGCCUUAGGGUUGUAAAGCUCUUUACCCGAGAUGAUAAUGACAGUAUCGGAGAA